rnacentral:rRNA from 1 species
GGGUUGUGAGGUUAAGCGACUAAGCGUACACGGUGGAUGCCCUGGCAGUCAGAGGCGAUGAAGGGCGUGCUAAUCUGCGAUAAGCGCCGGUAAGGUGAUAUGAACCGUUAUAACCGGCGAUACCCGAAUGGGGAAACCCAGUGUGAUUC